CACGUAGUUAGCCGGGGCCUCUUGUCCAGGUACUGUCAUUUUCUUCCCUGCUGACAGGGCUUUACGCACCGGAGUGCUUCUUCACCCACGCGGCAUUGCUGCAUCAGGGUUCCCCCCAUUGUGCAAUAUUCCCCACUGCUGCCUCCCGCAGGAGUCUGGGCCGUGUCUCAGUCCCAAUGUGGCCGUCCACUCUCUCAAGCCGGCUACUGAUCGUUGUCUUGGUAGGCCGUUACCCUGCCAACUAACUAAUCAGACGCGGGCCCAUCCUGUACCACCGUGGUUUUCCCUGCUGUGCCAUGCGGCACAGCAGGCUUAUGCGGUAUUAGCAGCCAUUUCUGGCUGUUGUCCCCCGGUACAGGGCAGGUUGCCCACGCGUUACUCACCCGUCCGCCACUAGGUUUAUAUAUCUUCCCCUCCGGAGAGUUCCCGUCAUACUAAAACCCCGUUGACUUGCAUGUGUUAGGCAUGCCGCCAGCGUUCAUCCUGAGCCAGGAUCAAA
rnacentral:rRNA from 1 species